UUGCAUAUCCAAUAGCGGAGGAAAAGAAACCAACAGGGAUUGCCCUAGUAACGGCGAGUGAAGCGGCAACAGCUCAAAUUUGAAAGCUGGCUCCGGCCCGCAUUGUAAUUUGCAGAGGAUGCUUUUGGCGAGGUGCCUUCCGAGUUCCCUGGAACGGGACGCCAUAGAGGGUGAGAGCCCCGUAUGGAUGGACACCAAACCUGUGUAAAGCUCCUUCAACGAGUCGAGUAGUUUGGGAAUGCUGCUCUAAAUGGGAGGUAAAUCUCUUCUAAAGCUAAAUACCGGCCAGAGACCGAUAGCGCACAAGUAGAGUGAUCGAAAGAUGAAAAGCACCUUGAAAAGGGGGUUAAACAGUACGUGAAAUUGUUGAAAGGGAAGCAUUUAUGACCAGACUUGCGCCGGGCAGCUCAUCAGGGGUUCUCCCCUGUGCACUCUGCCCGGCUCAGGCCAGCAUCGGUUCUCGUGGGAGGAUAAGAACAGUGGGAACGUGGCCCCCUCUCGGGGGGGUGUUAUAGCCCAUUGUACGAUACUCUCGUGGGGACCGAGGUUCGCGCUCCGCAAGGAUGCUGGCGUAAUGGUCAUCAAUGACCCGUCUUGAAACACCGGACCCAAA
rnacentral:rRNA from 1 species